UUUUGAGGUAGCCUAGUAGACUACUCACGUCAUUGGCCGUAAACAGGUGGUCCAUAUUAAUUUGCUGAUUACACUAGCAGAUUUCCCAUACGAGCUCGGAUGCGCUUGUGAGGAGAAGCGUUAAACUGGCGAUGUCUUGCCAACUAAAAACAUUAACUUCAAUCCUUAUAUUAUCAGCAAUCUCACUUAAUCUCAAUAGUCUUCAUUCUAGCGCUACGGCAAAGCGGGAAGCCGCUGAUUAUUCAGAAGAAAGCAGUUUCAAUAGAGUGUCUAACAAUUUCACCGACAAAACUUCACAACAGCUCCACAUCAGCGCGUUUCAACUCAACGCAGCAAAUUCGGAUUUGAAUCGACUUAGUGGCUCGAUAAAACUUGACGACUCAAAUGAUCCUUCAGACAGAGCUAGCAAUGAAACACAGUCGAGUAAACACACGUAUGACUUGCCAUACAACGACAGUGCAUCUUUAUUCACUAUCAAUGAAAACAUACGAAGUAGUUUCCAGAAACGAGCAUCUGUUAUCGAGGACGGAUUUCAAGGCGAUGCUCCAGCUUUUGGAGGACGAGAAACGGCUGGGAAAAUUUAUGUUUCCAAAAGCUUGUCCAGCUUCCAAAUCAGAGACAUGCGGCUGGCUUUACCCAUGGUACGCUGCUCAGAAGAGGUGAUGACCAUAACAAUGGCUGGAAGAGAAUACACACGGAUAUCUGUGGACAGAGUGGAUGCAGACCCACUGCCCUUAUUUCAGGUGCCUGCAUAUUGUGGCUUUUCUGUCAGGGUCACGUGGAAAGAUUUGGUCCUAAUGGCUCCUUAUGAUGGGUGCUUCAUCACAAAAGAGAAUGACAAUUAUGUACUUUCACUCUUGUGGUGGGACAGUCCCAUAAAAAUAACCUGUCCAAUGGCACCUGUGACCUCAAAUCCAACUCCCUCUGUCUUCUGCUCUGAAUUCGGCAUGGCCAUUGCAAUAAAAGGUGCUCAGCAAGCUGCAGAGAAACACAGAGUUAAAGUGAAGGGGAAGAUACUGCCUCUCCUAUCUGAGACAUGUGCAUAUCGUUUGCCGUCUCCCCCUGAGGUAGUUCUGCUUUACAUCCAAUUCAACACAGGAUGUGUGACUGUGAUGGGCAAUGAGAUCAAUCUUGUCAUCAUCGUGGAUGGAAAGCAGUUCACCCUUUCAUGUCCCUUUCCUCACUACUGGUCUCGAUUUGGUCCCUACCUUCAUUCUCCAUACUAUCAACCACUGCAGCCCAGUCAGAUACCCAGUACUUAUGAGUACCAGAAACCGCCUGGUCUCUUUCAUCUCAUGUUUCCCCAUCAUCAUCAUCAUCAUCAUCACCGUCAUCGUCAUUAUCCUGCACCUCCUGUGGAUGCUCUUCCCAAAUUUUCAAUAAAGCCAUAUCUGCCUCCACCUGUUGAGCAAAUGCCACAAAUGUUUCAGUACCCAGUUUUGCCUCCUCUGUAUCUUGAGCCGUCCAUUGAUUUGCAACCAACUACCCCUCCAGUGACUUCAUUUCUUCCUCCUACAUACAAUCCACCGACCCGUUCCGUCAUGCAAGAGAAGGUUUUCCCUCAAAUGCCCAUCUUUCCCCCAGCUCCCCCUGCAAAACCUUCCAAAACAUCUCCGUCACUUCAUUGCACAAGAGACAGAUUAAUUGUAACUUUGGCCUCAGCAACAAUAGACUCCAUUAAGGUCAAAGAUGUGGAGACAAAAGAAUGGAUCUCGAUUUCAUCGGUGUCCGCUGCCUGUAACUACAACCUUCGCUCUGUAGGGGAUAAUGUUGUGCUCUCUUCACCACUCCCUUCCUGCCACACAACACAAAAGGUGAGUCCUCAGUGCUGAGAUUUUACACAUUCACUACAUUCAAAUCAGAAGGGCUCUUUCAUAUGCCCUAAUCCCUUUAAAGGAACCCUUCUUUGCUCAAAGCAUCAUGGCUCAAAAUAGCCAUUGUAUCCUUUAAAACCCUUUACCCCAAAGGUCAGCUUUGAGCAUGUAUGUUUAUAAUGACACUUCAUUAUGGCGGCAUUGAUAAUUUUCACUCCAAAAGUGCCCUUUGGAGGGCUAUGU
ensembl:lincRNA